rnacentral:rRNA from 1 species
UACAGGGGGGGGCAAGCGUUGUUCGGAAUUACUGGGCGUAAAGGGUCUGUAGGUGGCCAACUAAGUCAGACGUGAAAUCCCUCAGCUUAACUGGGGAACUGCGUCUGAUACUGGGAUGGCUCGAGUGUGGGGAGAGGAAUGCGGAAUUCCAGGUGUAGCGGUGAAAUGCGUAGAUAUCUGGAGGAAUACCGGUGGCGAAGGCGGCAUCCUGGACCGACAUUGACGCUGAUGAGCGAAAGCUAGGGGAGCAAACGGG